rnacentral:lncRNA from 1 species
ACAAAAAUUAGCGGGUUGUGGUAGUGGGCACCUGUAAUCCCAGCUACUUGGGAGGCUGAGGCAAGAGAAUCUCUUGAACCCGGGAGGUGGAGGUUGUAGUGAGCCGAGAUCGUGCUAUUGCACUCCGGCCUCCACAACGAGAGCGUAUCUUUGUCUCAAAAAAAAGUACAAAAAUUAGCCGGACAUGGUGGCACACGCCUGUAGUCGCAGCUACUUGGGCAGCUGAGGCAGGAGAAUUGCUUGAACCCAGGAGGCAGAGGUUGCAGUGAGCCAAGAUCAUGCCACUGACUCCAGCCUGGGUGACAGAGCUAAAAAAAAAAAAAAAGAUAAAACAUAGAUACAGAAAACCACAAAGGAAAAGCAUAGCAUAUUGAAUCAUCACAAGGCAGCCACCCCUUCAUAGCCACACCUGGCCCCUGGCCACCACUGACCUGUGCUCCAUCGCCAGAAUUCCAUUGUCUCAAGAAUGUUCGAUGAAUGGAAUCCUGUGUGGCCUGAGAUGAGUGUCUUUCAUGCCGCGUGACACCCUUGAGGCCCGUGCAAGCUGUUGGUAUGUAAACAGUCAGCUGCUUCUCAUUGCUGAGUGGCGAUUGGUCCUGUCAUGGUUUAUUCAGCCAUGUGGUGGAUGGCUACUUGUCUUCUAAGCCACUUGUUUUCUUAUUGCUGGACUUACUGUCUCACGCUCUCUUGGUGCAGCCCUCGGAAGGCUUGGUCACACUCUCCGAGAGCACAGCCAUCAUCUCCCACGGUACCACAGGCCUGGUCACAUGGGAUGCCACCUGCUACCUUGCAGAAUGGGCCAUCGAGAACCCGGCAGCCUUCACUAACAGGUGACCUCGGGGCACAGGGCAGGGCACCGAGGCAGGCUUACCCUGGUGCAGUCGAAGACACGGUCCCCUUUCCUCCCAUCAGGAAUGUCCUAGAGCUUGGCAGUGGCACCGGCCUCACAGGCCUGUCCAUCUGCAAGAUGUGCCACCCCUGGGCAUACAUCUUCAGCGACAGUCACAGCCGGGUCCUAGAGCAGCUCCGAGGGAAUGUCCUUCUCAAUGGCCUCUCAUUAGAGGCAGACAUCACUGCCAACUUAGCCCCAGGGUGACAGUGACCCAGCUGGACUGGGACGUAGCGACAGUCCAUCAGCUCUCUGCCUUCCAGCCAGAUGUUGUCAUUGCAGCAGGUACUGCCCAGCCCCGGGCAUCCUGUGCAGGCGGUGUCCUUGCAGCUCUACCCCGCUUUUGGCUCUGGGAAAAGGGAACAAUGGACGCUGUCGGGCAUGGACAUGAUGGGGCUUCCAGAAGAGUUACUCCGGGCCUCCAGGAUGACAUCAAAGGACAGGGGUGCCUCUUAAGGUGACCUUCAAGCCACAGCCCUCUUGUUGGAGACAGGCAUACUCCCGUUACAGUCGUCACCACUUGACUCUGUCCCAGAGCCAUGCCCUGUGUCCUUCAGAGACCACAGGAGGAAAACAACCACUUCUGGGACGAGGACAGGGCCCUUGAGAGAAGGUGGUGUUUGGCUGGGCCACCGAAAACCCCUCACCCCUGCCAGCACACUCAGUCCCCUCUCUGGUGGAACAGAGCUCUACCUGUGGUCCUGGGUCCCAGCCCUGAAACCCACAGGUCCAGCGGUGGCCAGGGACAUAGGCCAACCCCUGCAAGCCAGCAGACCAAUCGGCAGACACCUGAAACACGAAGUUCAUGGCAGGGUCAGGCUUUCUGUCAUUCAAAGCCCUCUAGAUAGGUCGAGAACCAGAGCUGGUUUUUUAAGGAACACCAAUGAGUCUGGAGAUUUUUUUCUUUUGCUUCGGUCUUUUGCAGAUUUCUCUACUAAGGGUUCUCCUUUUUCACCCAAGUAAUUGCCGUUCCAUCUAAUGGCCCAAAUGGUCAAAUGGCAUCUAAUAGUCUCAUAUGACCGCUGCCUCUCUGGCCUCGCCCUGCUGCUGAGGUCAGCAUGAACUGGAACUUUCCACUUGUCCCUUUCAGUAACCUGAAGCUUUCAUCGUAGACGUGCUGUAUUGCCCAGAAGCCAUCGUGUCGCUGGUCGGGGUCCUGCGGAGGCUGGCUGCCUGCCGGGAGCACCAGCGGGCUCCUGAGGUCUACAUGGCCUUUACCGUCCACAACCCAGAGACAUGCCAGCUGUUCACCACCGAGCUAGGCUGGGCUGGGAUCAGAUGGGAAGCGGAAGCUCAUCAUGACCAGAAACUGUUUCCCUAUGGAGAGCACUUGGAGAUGGCAGUGCUGAACCUCACACUGUAGGACUCACACACGACUCCAAUGGGAUUGUGAGAAUCAAGUCACUCUCGUGGGAAGAAUUUUUAUAUGGGAAAGCGGAUAAAACUUUCAUUGGACUGGAAUGUUUGGAGAAUGUUAAAUUCCAAAUCAGGAACCACAAACUGCCCUCUAAUAAGACAUCGGCUAUCUAAGCGUGUGGGUGCCCCCUUUCUGCCAGCAGUUCUGGUUCUUAAGAAAAUCACCAUAAAUCAGACAUGAAAAUUCUGGCUCCAAAAAUAGCAUUUUCUUUGUGCAAAUAAAAACGUGUGUAUCUAAUAUGACGUUC